rnacentral:rRNA from 1 species
GAGAACGCUAGCUACAGGCUUAACACAUGCAAGUCGAGGGGAAACGAUAUUGAAAGCUUGCUUUCUUUAGGCGUCGACCGGCGAAUGGGUGAGUAACGCGUAUCCAACCUGCCCCUGAGUAAGGGAUAGCCCAUCGAAAGAUGGAUUAAUACCUUAUGGUUUCCUUUGAAGGCAUCAGAUUAGGAAUAAAGAUUUAUCGCUGAGGGAUGGGGAUGCGUCUGAUUAGCUUGUUGGCGGGGUAACGGCCCACCAAGGCGACGAUCAGUAGGGGUUCUGAGAGGAAGGUCCCCCACAUUGGUACUGAGACACGGACCAAACUCCUACGGGAGGCAGCAGUGAGGAAUAUUGGUCAAUGGGCGCAAGCCUGAACCAGCCAAGUAGCGUGCAGGAUGACUGCCCUAUGGGUUGUAAACUGCUUUUAUACGGGGAUAAAGUCAGAGUCGUGACUCUGUUGCAGUAC